rnacentral:rRNA from 1 species
UAUCUCUGUAGAGUCUGCAUAUCAAUAAGCGGAGGAAAAGAAACUAGCUAGGAUUCCCUCAGUAACGGCGAGUGAAGCGGGAAGAGCUCAAAUUUGAAAUCUUCAAGGUUCUACCUUGACGAAUUGUAGUUUAAAGAAGUGUUUUCUGUUGGAGUUUUGGUAAAAGUUCUUUGGAAUAGGACAUCAUAGAGGGUGAGAAUCCCGUAUUUGACCAUUACUUUCCAGCGUUGUGAUACACUUUCAAAGAGUCGGAUUGUUUGGGAAUGCAGUCCAAAAUGGGUGGUAAAUUUCAAUCUAAAGCUAAAUACCUGGCGAGAGACCGAUAGCGAACAAGUACCGUGAGGGAAAGAUGAAAAGAACUUUGAAAAGAGAGUUAAACAGUACGUGAAAUUGUCAAAAGGGAAGCGUUUGACACCAGUGUUGUUUUCUCGAAAAAUCAAUUAAAAAAGGCAGGAUUUUGUGUUGUAUUGACUUUAUCAGCUUUCUGCACUCUUUUCUUGUCUUUUUUAAUGCACUUUUCGUUUAACAAGUCAACAUCAAUUUCUUUUGUUGUAAAAGGGUCAUUGGAAGGUGGCUUUCUUUUCGGAGAAAGUGUUUAUAGCCUUUGGCCUCUGCAAUCGGAGAGAUUGAGGUCUGCAGCGUAGAUCCUUCGGGGUUAGAUACAUUUGUGCUAAGUUAUAGCCUUUCAUAGACAACUUGUUGACUAUGAUCAGUCAUGUAGCUUACUCGCUUAUGCUAUUUUACCUACGCUUAGGAUGUUGAAGAUGUAGCACAUCA